AAAAGCUACAAAGGGCGCAUGGUGGAUGCCUUGGCGCUGAACGGCGACGAAGGACGUGGCUACCUACGAUAAGCCUCGGGGAGCGGGAAGCACGCUGUGAUCCGGGGAUCUCCGAAUGGGGUAACCCGACGCGAGUAAUGUCGCGUCCCUUCCGGUUGAAUUCAUAGGCCGGAAGAGCAAACCCGCUGAAGUGAAACAUCUCAGUAAGCGGAGGAAAAGAAAGCGAAUGCGAUUCCGUAAGUAGUGGCGAGCGAAAGCGGAACAGCCCAAACCGGACGGCUUGCCGUCCGGGGUUGUAGGACCACUGUAUGGGUAGUUGUGCGGUUAGGUGAAGCGGAUGGAAAGUCGCCUCAUAGAAGGUGAGAGGCCUGUAACCGAAAACCAAGCAACGCUCGGUGGUAUCCUGAGUAACGCGAUGCACGUGAAACUUCGCGUGAAGCUACGCCGACCACGGCGUAAGGCUAAAUACGUGUCAGCGACCGAUAGUGAACCAGUACCGCGAGGGAAAGGUGAAAAGAACCCCGGCGAGGGGAGUGAAAUAGAUCUGAAACCAUGUGCCUACAAGGUGUCAGAGCCCGAAAGGGUGAUGGCGUGCCUUUUGCUUAAUGAGUCUGCGAGUUACUGUUUGUGGCAAGUCUAAGUCCUGAUGGGACGGAGGCGAAGCGAAAGCGAGUCCGAAUAGGGCGCAUAGCCGCAAGUAGUAGACCCGAAGGGGAGGUGAUCUACCCAUGGUCAGGAUGAAGUCACUUUAAACGGUGAUGAAGGUCCGAACGGGUGACGGUUGAAAACGUCUCCGAUGAACUGUGGGUAGGAGCGAAAGACUAAUCAAACCCCCUGAUAGCUGGUUCUCCCCGAAAUAGAUUUAGGUCUAGCCUCGUGCGCUGACCUGUGGGGGUAAAGCACUGGAUGGACUAGGGCCCACACCAGGGUACCGAAUCCAACCAAACUCUGAAUACCACAGGGUGCAGCACGGGAGUAAGACGGUGGGGGAUAAGCUUCAUCGUCGAGAGGGAAACAACCCAGAUCGCCGGCUAAGGUGCCCAAAUGCAGCUAAGUGAAAAGGAUGUUGGGUUUCAAAGACAGUGAGGAUGUUGGCUUAGAGGCAGCCACCAUUUAAACAGUGCGUAAUAGCUGACUCACCGAGAGAUCCGGCGCCGAAAAUGAUUGGCGAUAAGCUGUAUACCGAAGCCGCGGAUUUCUUUCGGUUUAGGCCGAGAGGAGUGGUAGGGGAGCGUUCCAAGUGCUGUGAAGCGGAAGGGAAACCGACCGUGGAGCGCUUGGAAGUGAGGAUGCAGACAUGAGUAGCGAUAAGAUCGGUGAAAAUCCGAUCCGCCGUAAACCCAAGGUUUCCUGGGGAAGGUUCGUCCGCCCAGGGUUAGUCGGGAACUAAGCUGAGGCCGAUGGGCGUAAGCGAUGUCUAGCUGGUCAAUAUUCCAGCACCGCCGACAUUUAAACGUGGGGGACGCAUCGUUAGAGAAGAGCGAGGUGAUGAAUGCCCUUGUCCCGCAAGGGGACCGAAAGGAGCGAUCCUGACGGGAUUCUUCAAAGACGGUGCCAAGAAAAGUCCACGUGUACACUAAGGCGCCCGUACCGUAAACCGACACAGGUGGGUGAGUAGAGUAUACUCAGGCGCGUGAGUUAAAUCUCUUUAAGGAACUCGGCAAGUUAGCCCCGUAACUUCGGAAGAAGGGGCGCCCCGUAAGGGGUCGCAGUGAACAGCGUCAACCGACUGUUUAACAAAAACACAGCACUCUGCUAAGUCGUGAAGACGACGUAUAGGGUGUGACACGUGACCAAUGCUGGAAGAUUACGGCAAGGGGUUAGUCAGGCUUCGGCCUGGCGAAGCUCUGAACCCAAGUCCCAGCGAAUGUCGGCCGUAACUAUAACGGUCCUAAGGUAGCGAAAUUCCUUGUCGGGUAAGUUCCGACCUGCACGAAUCGUGUAACGAGUUGACGACUGUCUCAAAGAGAGGCUCAGCGAAGUUGUAGUGGCGGUGAAGAUGCCGCCUACCCGCAGUAGGACGGAAAGACCCCGUGCACCUUUACUGUAAGCUGUUACUGAAUCUUUGCUAUGGAUGCUCAGCGUAAGUGGGAGACAGUGAAGCCUUCCUUUCGGGGAAGGUGGAGUCACCAAUGAGACACCACACUUCUAUUGUGAGGAUUCUAACCAAGGACCCUGAAUCGGGUUUUGGGACAAUGGCAGCGGGUCAGUUUGACUGGGGCGGUCUCCUCCUAAAAGGUAACGGAGGAGUUCUAAGGUUCCCUCAGCACGGUUGGCAAUCGUGCGUCGAGCGUAUGGGUAGAAGGGAGCUUGACUGCGAGACCGACAGGUCGAGCAGGUACGAAAGUAGGACCAAGUGAUCCGGUGGUAGAAUGUGGAAUUGCCAUCGCUCAUCGGACAAAAGGUACGCCGGGGAUAACAGGCUGAUCGGGCCCAAGAGUCCAUAUCGACGGCCCGGUUUGGCACCUCGAUGUCGGCUCAUCGCAUCCUGGGGCUGGAGAAGGUCCCAAGGGUCCGGCUGUUCGCCGGUUAAAGCGGUACGCGAGCUGGGUUCAGAACGUCGUGAGACAGUUCGGUCCUUAUCCACUGUGGGCGCAGGAGACUUGAGGGAUUCACUCCCUAGUACGAGAGGACCGGGAGUGACGGACCGCUGGUGUUCCGGUUGUGUCGUCAGACGCAGCGCCGGGUAGCUAUGUCCGGAAAGGAUAAGCGCUGAAAGCAUCUAAGCGCCAAGCCUUCCCCAAGAUGAGGUCUCCCCAUCAAGGUCGUGGUAGACCACCACGUUGAUAGGCCGCACGUAGAAGCGCAGCAAUGCGUGCAGCGAAGCGGUACUAAUUACCUGAUUGGCUUUUAGUC
rnacentral:rRNA from 1 species